AUUUCUAAGGCUAGAAAAAUAGAGAAUGUGGGUAAGACACAAUAAUUGGAAGAGAAUGGCUGAAAACUUCCAGAACUUGUGAGAGGUACAAAACCUGAAAUUCAGUAAACAGGAUGACUAUGAAGAUAUCCAUUCAGGUAAACUGUAACAGGAGUGUAGAUCACCAAAAAACAAAGAAGAAAUCUACAAGUAGAGUGAGCAGAAUAAAAAGAACCAUAAUUGAAGGAGUAUGGAUAGCUUCCACCUGGAUAUUUCUACACUGGCAGAUACCAGGGGGAUAAUGCCAUUGUCUGUGCAAACAAAGGUCAAAUGCUUCCUGGAGCAGUGCAAACCACCCAACCACAGAGAUGCACCCCAUCCUUCCUGCAGCCACAGCUCCCUGACCAGACACGCCGGAGCAGUCACAGCUCUCCACCAGACACCCUUUCCCCAAGACUCAUCUGCUGACCCCUAAAGAAAUGCCUAAUGGGAUUUUAAAGUUCAAUUCGCAAGCUAACAUCUAGCACACAGGGAACCGCUUUCUCAGUGUGUGCGCUCGCCUGUCAUCUAAUAUAUCCUGAUGAGCCCGAUCACUUCAUUUACUUUGGAACUGGCACGCUCUCAAGUACCUAUUCAGCAGGUCACUCCAGAAAGUCUUGCUGAGUGUGUGGAAAUUUCAAGAUCUUCAAUCAUAUUUUCAGUUAUAAUGAACCUGCCAUCAAAAUAAAAGUGCUUAAUGGUU